AUUCCGUUCUCAGCGUUUGUUAAUUAAUAAAUUCUUUGUUAUAUUAAAUUUUAAUGAUUAUCUUGCAUAGUUACAUUCUUUUUGACAACAUCUGGCAUUGAAAGGCAAGAGACUGUCUCGUGACAUUGACCUUGAUCGCAAUACUUUUUCGAUAGCAUCAUCGUUGUUGCAAUUUCCCGAGGCCUACGCUCACCCUCGCUGUAAGUUUACGAGUACUACUCUUAUACAUAUGUAUAUUUGCUGAAUCAUACAUUACAAUAAAUUGCCAAUGUCUCGCACGUAUAUGAUUGUAUGUAAAUAAUCAUUGAUCAAUGUGCCGAAAAAAAGAGAUCGACAAAGUAUCUUAAAGAAACAAUAUAGUAAAAGGGUAAAAUGGGUAUUAUAUACGGAGAGAAUUUUCUCUUAAAAAUUACCCUUAAAAUCAUGGUAAUUGUAAAACAACGUAAACCUUGAAGAAUUUUACUAUACUUUUAACAAAAUUUACUAAAAUUUUAAUAAAAUUUGGCAAAGUUUUAGUAAAUUUUCUUAGAAGUAUAGAAAAAUUUUCUAAAAUUUUAAUAACAUUUAGCAAAGUUUUAGUAAAUUUUGUUAAAAGUAUAGUAAAAUUCUUCGAGGUUCACGUUGCCUCAGAAUUACCAUGAUUUUCAGGAUAAUUUUUAAGAGAAAAUUCUCUCCGUGUACCGAUCCUAAUAUAUCUUUGCACAAUAACAAAAAAUUAUAUUAAAAAUAUACGAAAAGUCAGAGGCAGGGUUGUCUUGCAAUAGAUUGUCCUCUUAUAGGAACUUGGUAAUUUUAAUCCGUUAUUAAGAUACAUCGGAUCACGAGUAAUGCCUUGCUAGGUGAAUAAAUUACACGGCGUUGAAAGCUUUAUCCGCUUGAUGAGCGCCAUCAGGGAGUAGUAAGGCGCUUGAGUGUUAGCUCAAGUGGCGAUAAUUGAACGGGCUCCAAGGGAAACGGGCUCGAAAGAUGCGUUUUCGUAGCUCUUGAUAGACUCUCGCAUCAUGGUUUACGUAACAUAUGUAUUUACAUGCGAAACAUUUUAAAAGCGAUCUCACGCCGCCACAAUUAAGGUGCCAUGUAACCGGAUUUACGCAUGACGUUUAGGUCUGUUUUCUUGGGUUUUUUUUUUUUUCCCCCAUAAUGCAUUACUUUCACAGCGUAUAUAUUAUCUAUAUCACUUUCAAAUCUUUUUAAAUUAAAAAUAUAAAUAAAGUGCCUACAAAACUGGAUAUUCAAUAACCAUAAAUAUAUUUUUAUAAACGACCUCUAAUUUUAACACUUAUAAUUUUUAAACUAAAGAACUUGAUUCUAGUGAAUUCUUAUAUAUGAUAUUCCCGUAACGAAAUCUUGUUUUAAAACGGAAACCAGAUAUACUGCAGGAUGCAGUGAUAUCGCAGGUCAGCCGCAAGGCUGACACAAGACACAACCACAGUGAAAAGCUUUGAGAGCACAUGCCCACAUGCCCACUACCAUCAUCGAGAGUGCCAUUGCGGUCAGGUGUGCAUUUUGAUGUCGGUGAACACACACACACACACAAAGUUGGGCGACGUACACCUGUUAUUAUCGCCGUUACAUUCGCGCAAGUUGACAAGUAGGUAUCGGUCCAGGUGAUGCUGUUUUACGAAAUGGCAUCACAUCUUACUCUGCUCUCAUAUUAUACUGCUUGAUUCGCGACGUGAGUCGAUUUGCAACUCGCGUGUGCAAAAGUGAGACGCGAUAUCGGGGUUAAUGGCAGGCGUAAACGUUAUACGAAUGGCCUAAUCGCCCGCAGUGACGAGUAAAUUAAUUGACGUGCCGUUUGCAUUUACAGACUCUGGAUCUAUAUAAUCAUUCUUCUCGUUGAAUAAUUAUAUACGCAAGUUAAUAACCACGCUGCAAAGAUGCACAAAAAUAUCAUGAAAUUGUAUUACAUAUAACUUGAUAGACAUUUAAAUUACAAUAGAGCGAAAUAACUCAGUAAGAAAAGGUGAGCUAAGCAUAAUCGUUUGACAAUGUACUAUUAUUCAGUUUUAAUUCUCAAAAUCUAUGCGUUAUAAUAUAAUAUCGUUUUCAUGAAUCAUCGUAUCAUUGAAGCAAAUAUUCUUUCACAUGAUUUUCUAGAAUCGAUGAUCAACGCGAACGAUGACCACAAUAAUCCUUUCGAUGACUCAAGAUUACUUAUAUGUACGUGCGAAUGUCACUGAUUUUCUCUCUCAUGGAACUUCACGGAUUAUGAAAGCAUAUAUGUAUAUCGAUGCAACGUAACAAUUUAUAUAUGAUGAUUCAUGAACGUUGGACAAAGAUCUUGACCAAGCAGUUUUCUUCUUUGUAUGUUAUUCAUCCGUAUUCAAAGGGGAACAAUUACUUAUCUGACGCAAAAUCAUUCUGCUUUUAAUAACUCGCUGGUGUUUAAUGCAUCGGCACGAUGAUCGGAGUCAAUAACAAGAAGAUGCAAUUGGUUCAUCGAAACAAAACAAUAUUUUACGCCAUCACGAAUGUCAGUUACUCGAAACAAUUUAACUCCAGUUGAAAUGCAUCCUAAUAAUGAUCUCUGGCUUUUAAAUUAUCUUUCAUAAAUUCUUCUUCUACGAAAUCGAAAAGCGCAUCAAAACAAUGAUUGCGUAUGUACGGACGUAUUAUGCAUUGCAUAAUGGAGAAAACCGACGGAAGUAAUCGGAGAAGCAACAUCAAACGUGAUCCGAGGUAGAGGUGCUCAUUACGAAAGUCGCGGAAGUGAAAUCGGCGCGAUCGCUUAAUGAAUCAUCGAAUCCAAAUGUAACGAACCAGUGACGUCAAAUCAAACAUUCUUAAAUGGUACCGAAGAAUAAGCAAGUGAAACGGAGUCAUGCACGAUUAGCAGAUUAAAAUAUGAUGGUACACUCGGGCACUGUUACACGGUCAGAGCAAACUUAUUAGCCACUGUGACCUAAGUCCCGCAAGAAGAUAUAUCCGUUGCCUGACUCAUCAAUUCGUGAUACCUCAUUUACCCAUGAGGGAUAAUCCCUCCUCAGCCUCCAUUGAUGUCACGGGAAAACAAAUAUCUAUAUAUUUAUAUAUAAUUUAUCAUGUUGUAUAUUAUAUGUAUAUUUGCCAAGAUAUUUGCUGAUUUGUUGCCUAAAUUCUUUUUCCUCUGUAAAAAUAAAUAAAUUUAAACACA